rnacentral:rRNA from 1 species
GAUGUUGGGUUAAGUCCCGCAACGAGCGCAACCCCUGCAUCCAGUUGCCAUCGGGCGAGCCGGGCACUCUGGAGGGACUGCCGGCGACAAGCCGGAGGAAGGUCGGGGGAUGGACGUCAAGUCAUCAUGGCCCUUAUGUCCAGGGCGGACACACGUGCUACAAUGGCCGGCACAGCGGGAAGCGAGGGCGACCCUGGAGCGGAUCCCUUGAAAGACCGGUCCCAGUUCGGAUUGCAGUCUGCAACUCGACUGCAUGAAGUUGGAAUCGCUAGUAAUCGCGGAUCAGCCAAGCCGCGGUGAAUACGUUCCCGGGCCUU